UAUGUGAUCGUCUCUCGCAUAUCAAUAAGCGGAGGAAAAGAAACUAACAAGGAUUCCCCUAGUAACGGCGAGUGAAGCGGGAAGAGCUCAAAUUUGAAAUCUUAAAGGGUUUCCCUUUACGAAUUGUAGUUUAAAGAAGUGUUUUCUGUUGAGGUUUUGGGGUAAAAGUUCUUUGGAAUAGGACAUCAUAGAGGGUGAGAAUCCCGUAUUUGACCUUUACUUUCAACUUUGUGAUACACUUUCAAAGAGUCGGAUUGUUUGGGAAUGCAGUCCAAAAUGGGUGGUAAAUUUCAUCUAAAGCUAAAUAUUGGCGAGAGACCGAUAGCGAACAAGUACCGUGAGGGAAAGAUGAAAAGAACUUUGAAAAGAGAGUUAAACAGUACGUGAAAUUGUCAAAAGGGAAGCGUUUGACACCAGUGUUGUUUUUCUGAAAAUCAAUUAAAGAACUGUUUAUGCUAAGCUGUUUAGACUUUAUCAGCUAUCUGUUUAGUUUUGAGCUUUUCUUUAAUGCACUUUUCAGUUAACAAGUCAACAUCAAUUUCUUUUGCUGUAAAAAAGCUUGAGGAAGGUGGCUUGAGAUUCGUCUUAAGUGUUUAUAGCCUCUUGCCUAUGCAGUCGGAGAGAUUGAGGUCUGCAGCGUAGAUCCUUCGGGGCUAAAUGCAUUUGUGCUAAGUUAUAGCAUUUUAUAGACAACUUGUUGACUAUGAUUUGUCUUGUAGCUUACUCGCUUAUGUUAUUUUACCUACGCUUAGGAUGUUGAUAUCGCGCUCUCACUG
rnacentral:rRNA from 1 species